GAUGAACGCUGGCGGCGUGCUUAACACAUGCAAGUCGAGCGAGAAGUUUUGAACAGAUUCUUCGGAUGAAAUUUAAAAUGGAAAGCGGCGGACGGGUGAGUAACGCGUAGGCAACCUGCCCCAUACAAAGGGAUAGCAUUUGGAAACGAAUAUUAAUACCUUAUGAAACUUAACUAGUGCAUGCUAGGUAGGUCAAAGAUUUAUCGGUAUGGGAUGGGCCUGCGUCUGAUUAGCUAGUUGGUGAGGUAACGGCUCACCAAGGCGACGAUCAGUAGCCGACCUGAGAGGGUGAACGGCCACAUUGGAACUGAGACACGGUCCAAACUCCUACGGGAGACAGCAGUGGGGAAUAUUGCACAAUGGGGGAAACCCUGAUGCAGCAACGCCGCGUGAACGAUGAAGGCCUUUGGGUCGUAAAGUUCUGUUCUAGGUGAUGAAAACUGACAGUAACCUAGGAGAAAGCCCCGGCUAACUCCGUG
rnacentral:rRNA from 1 species